rnacentral:rRNA from 1 species
AGUGAACGCUGGCGGUAGGCCUAACACAUGCAAGUCGAACGGCAGCACAGUAAGAGCUUGCUCUUACGGGUGGCGAGUGGCGGACGGGUGAGGAAUACAUCGGAAUCUACUUUUUCGUGGGGGAUUACGUAGGGAAACUUACGCUAAUACCGCAUACGACCUACGGGUGAAAGCAGGGGAUCUUCGGACCUUGCGCGUUUGAAUGAGCCGAUGUCGGAUUAGCUAGUUGGCGGGGUAAAGGCCCACCAAGGCGACGAUCCGUAGCUGGUCUGAGAGGAUGAUCAGCCACACUGGAACUGAGACACGGUCCAGACUCCUACGGGAGGCAGCAGUGGGGAAUAUUGGACAAUGGGCGCAAGCCUGAUCCAGCCAUACCGCGUGGGUGAAGAAGGCCUUCGGGUUGUAAAGCCCUUUUGUUGGGAAAGAAAAGCAGCAGGUUAAUACCCCGCUGUUCUGACGGUACCCAAAGAAUAAGCACCGGCUAACUUCGUG